rnacentral:lncRNA from 1 species
GCUGGAUGGGAGGGCCCAGGCAGGAUUCCUCUCUAUCUCUGCCCUGCUCUCCUCCACAAAACCCUGAAGGCCUGAAGCCUGCCCCUUAAGUCACAGAUUCCUUAGGUGACUUCACAGGGUAGUGAUGACCUCACAAGCUUCCAAAGUUUCCAUGGCAGCGUGACUACACACCUGCGUCCUAGAGAAGCCUCCCUACCAUUUCUCUGUAAGAUACCAAUCUGUUUGGUUGGCUGAGAGAGAAUGACUGACCGGAUCCUCUAUAUUGUCUCUAACAUGUCCUCUGUCCCCUGGGAGGGCAGCGCAGCAGGGGAUGCGAAGAAGAUGAAAGGACUUCUUAGGAAGAGUCGCGAGAGAGGGUAGGCUGUAACAGCACAAUGUAUAAGGUAAAAGUGACUAAUUCUGGUUUUCUUUCCAGCUGCAGUGCCUGCCACUUCUCCUCCCACACCUGGGCACUACCAUGUUCUCUACCGAGGGUGUGGAGAAACUCAGGUAGGCUGGCAUGGGGAGACGUACUGCCUGGUUGGUGGCUACCGGGUCCAUGGGGAUGCUCCUUUGGCCACCCCAACAAAGGCUGAAGCAGAGAAGCCAGCCCCCAGGCGUGCUCCCAAGAGACGUCAAGCUACGAUAGAGUCAGAUAAAGACCUGGGUUGCUCUAGCCCCAAAAUUCGGCGCUUGGAGCAUCGUGGCAGGAGACUGACCCCACAGAAGCUUGCUGGCUGAGCCAUUUGGGAGAAAGGACAAAUGUUUAGCUGUCUAAGACAGCUAAUGCCUCUUCUGCGGUGACCUCCCCUGCCCACCACUGCAGAUAGAGCCUGAGUCAUUCUGCCUAUGCCUUCCUCAUCCAGAAGCCCCCUUCCAUGCUAACUACCCAUGGCCAAGGAGCCUCAGAAACUGUGGUUUAAAAUGAGAGGUUGCUUUGAACAUCCCAAGGCUGAAGACGGCCUGGAAGAAAACCUGAUGUUCCUCUACUCAUCUCUCCAGAGUCCCUUUUUGGGCAGAAGAUAGAAAUAGUCUGCACUCUGCUAGCCGAGGAGUCAAGUGCAGAGAGGGAGUGCAGCAUAGCCCAGUAAGGGCUUGAUCUACCAGAUGGGUCUUUGCUUUGAGUCACUGCCAGCAACUACCAGCACAAACCAGGAGGGCCAGGACUUGCUGAAACUGGAAGCAGCAGCCCAUGGCUAGUCACAGCAGGAGAAAGCCUCCUGCUUGGCAUCUCAGGAGGUAGAAGAAAGAGACCUGGGGAGACCUGCCACCUACAGCAAGAACAAUAAGGAGGAAGUUGAGCAACAUCCCCCUGAAGCUCACAUGUUACUUUAUUUCCUGCCCAUUAUGGCCCCAGUGAGGUCCCUACUGCUCAAUUUAAAAAAAAAUUAAAAAAAUUAUUUUUCCAUAACAGUAUUUGACUUGAUCAUCUUUUUUUUUUUUCUUUUUUGACGGAGUCUCACUCUGUCACCCAGGCUGGCGUGCAGUGGCACUAUCUCGGCUCCCUGCAAGCUCCACCUCCUGGGUUCACGCCAUUCUCCUGCCUCAGCCUCCCUGGUAGCUGGGACUACAGGCGCCCGCCACCACACCCAGCCAAUUUUUGUAUUUUUAGCAGAGACGGGGUUUCACCAUGUUGGCCAGGAUGGUCUUGAUCUCCUGACCUCAAGAUCUGCCCGCGUUGGCCUCCCAAAGUUCUGGGAUUAUAGGCAUGAGCCACCAUACCCAGCCUCUUUCUUCCUCCUCUUCUUAUUCUUCUUCCUUCUUCCUUCUUUCUUCUUCUUCUCCUUCUCCUUCUCCUCCUUCUUCUUCCUCUUUUCUCUCUCUCUCUUAGAUGGGGUCUCGGCCAGGCACAGUGGCUCAGUCCUGUAAUCCCUGCACUUUGGGACGCUGAGGCAGUGGAUCACCUAAGGUCAGAAGUUUGAGACCAGCCUGGCCAGCACAAUGAAACCCCAUCUUACUAAAAAUACAAAAAAUUGGCCAGGCGUGGUGGCUCACGCCUGUAAUCCCAGCACUUUGGGAGGCCGAGGUGGGCGGAUCACGAGGUCAGGAGAUUGCGACCAUCCUAACAUGGUGAAACCCCAUCUCUACUAAAAAAUACAAAAAAUUAGCCAGGCGUGGUGGCGGGUGCCUGUAGUCCCAGCUACUCGGGAGGCUGAGGCAGGAGAAUGGCAUGAACCCGGGAGGCAGAGCUUGUGGUGAGCCGAGAUAGUGCCACUGCACUAAAGCCUGGGCGACAUCCGUAUCAAAACAAAAAAAAAAAUACAAAAACUUAACUGGUCAUGGUGGUGGGCACUUGUAAUCCCAGCUACUCAGGAACCUCAGGCAGGAGAAUCACUUGAACCUGGGAGGCAAAGGUUGCAGUGAGCCGAGAUCAUGCCACUGCACUCCAAUCUGGGCAACAAGAGUGAAACUCUGUCUAAAAAAAAAUAAAAAAAAAAAGGCCAGGCGCUGUGGCUCACACCUGUAAUCCCAACACUUUGGGAGGCAGAGGCGGGCGGAUCACAAGGUCAGGAGAUCAAGACCAUCCUGACUAACACAGUGAAACCCCGUCUCUCCUAAAAAUACAAAAAAUUAGUCAGUUGUGGUGGCAGGCACCUGUAGUCUCAGCUACUUGAGAGGCUGAGGCAGGAGAAUGGCAUGAACCCGGGAGGCGGAGCUUGCAGUAAGCCAAGAUCACGCCACUGCACUCCAGCCUAGGCGACAGAGCGACACUCCAUCUCAAAAAAAAAAAAAAAAAAGAUGGGGUCUUGCCGUGUUGUCCAGGCUGGUCUUGAACUCCUGGGCUCAAGUGACCCAUCUGCCUCAGCCUCCCAAAUAAAUAAAAAUUUAAAAAAGAAACGCAGAGCCUGGCCGGCCACAGUGGCUCACAUCUGUAAUCCCAAUACUUUGGGAGGCCAAGAUGGGAGAAUUGCUUGAAGCCAGGAGUUCAAGACGAGCUUGGGCAAGUAGUGAGAUCCUGUCUCUACAAAAAUAAAAAUAAUUAGUUAGGUAUGGUGGGGUGCACCUAUAGUCCUAGCCAUCUGGGGGGCUGAGGCGUGAGGAUCGCUUAAAGCCAGGAGUUGAAGGCUGCAGUAAGCUAUGAUCAUACCACUGCAUUUCAGCAGUCUGGGUGACUGGGUGACACAACGAGACCCUGUCUCAAAAAAGAAAGAAAAAAAGAAAAGCUAAAAAAAUGUAGAGCCCAGUGAGUGUUUCCGUGUGUGUGUGUGUGUUUUAGAGAGUGUUAGGAGAGGGACAAAAUAACUAAGAAGAUGCUGCUCCAUCUAUCCACUCAUCCAUUCAUUCAUUUAUUCAACAAGUAUUUAUUGGGCACUUUUUUUUUUUGUUUGACACAGAGUUUUCUCUCCUGUUGCCCAGGCUAGAGUGCAGUGGCACGAUCUCGGCUCACUGCAGCCUCCGCCUUCCGAGUUCAAGCGAUUCUCCUGCCUCAGCCUCCUGAGUAGCCGGGACUACAGGGGCACACCCCCACACCCGGCUAAUUUUUGUAUUUUUAGUAGAGAUGGGAUUCACCAUAUCGGUCAGGCUGGUCUCGAACUCGUAACCUCAGGCGAUCCACCCACCAAAGUGCUGGGAUUACAGACAUAAGCCACCGCACCCGGCCUAUUGAGCACUUCUUACAUACCAGCCACUGUGCUGGUUGCUUGGGAUAUAUUGGUGAAUGAGAAACUCCUCCCCUCAAGGCACCCACAAACAAUAUAAUUUGUUCAUAGAGACAAACAAUAUAAUUUUUGUUGUUGUUGUUGUAGUUGUUUUUCUUGAGACGGAGUCUCGCUCUGUCACCCAGUCUGGAGUGGCGCGAUCUAGGCUCACUGCAAGCUCUGCCUCCUGGGUUCACGCCAUUGUCCUGCCUCAGCCUCCCCAAACAAUAUAAUUUUAGAUAACUAUAACUGGUAUAAAGAAAAAUGAAACUGGAUAAGAGAAUACAGUAAUGAGGUGUGCUGUGUUACACCAGGUGGUUAGGGAAGGCUUCUCUGAGAUGAUGACAUUGUGGCUGAGAUGUGAGGGAAUCGUGAGGAGUAGAAGGGAGAGCAUUACUGGAGGAAAUUUCAAGUAUAAUGGUAAGAAUGAGACUGAUCCAUUUUUUCUUUUUUUGAGGUGGGGUCUCACUUUGUCUCCCAGGAUGGCGUACAAUGGUGCGACCUUGGCUCGUUGCAACCUCUGCCUCUCAGGUUCAAGUGAUUCUCCUGCCUCAGCCUCCUGAGUAGCUGGGACUAGAGGCACAUGCCACUACACUCGGCUAAUUUUUGUGUUUUUAGUAGAGAUGGGGUUUCACUAUGUUUGCCAGGCUGGUCUUAAACUGCAGACCUCAGGUAAUCCGCCAGCGUUGGCCUCCCAGGGUGCUAGGAUUACAGGUGUGAGCCAACACACCCGGCCUACAAGACUGACCAAUUUGAGGGCCAGCAGAAAGGCCAGUGUGGCCAGGGAAGAAAGAUAGAGGAGAUUGAAAGAUGUGGUGGCUGGGAGGCCAAGGAGGGAGGGUCACUUGAGCCCAGGAGUUUGAGACCAGCCUGGCAACAUAGGGAGGUGCCCUUUCUACAAAAAAUCAAAAAAUCAGCUGGGUGUGGUGGUGAAUGCCUGUGGUCCCUAGCUACUCAGGAGGCUGAGGCAGGAGGAUUGCUUGAGCCUAGGAGGUAUAGGCUGCAACGAGCCAUGAUCCUGCCACUGCACUCCAGCCUAGGCAACGAGUGAGACUCUGUCAGAAAGAAAGAAAGGAAGGAAGGAAGGAAGGAAAGAUGGAAGGAAGGAAGGAAGGAAGGAAGGAAGGAAGGAAGGAAGGAAGGAAGGAAGGAAGGAAGGAAAAAAAAAUAAGAUGGUUGGAGGCCAGGUGCAGUGGCUCACUCCUGUAAUUCCAGCAAUUUGGGAGGCUGAGGCUAGUGGAUCACCUGAGGUCAGGAGUUCGAGACUAGCCUGGCCAACAUGGUGAAACCCUGUCUCUACUAAAAAAUACAAAAAUUAGCUGGGUGUGGUGGCAGGCGCCUUAAUCCCAGCUACUUGGGAGGCAGAGGCAGGAGAAUCAUUUGAACCCGGGAGGCGAAGGCUGCAGUGAGCCGAGAUCGAGCCAUUGCACUCAAGCCUGAGGGACAAGAGUGAGACUUGUCUCAAAAAAAAAAAGAAAGAAAAGAAAAAGGUGGUUGGAGAAGUAAGGAAGUAAGCAAGUAAGCAUGGGCCAGACCAUAGUGGGCCGUGCCAGCCACGGUAAGGACAGUGGAUCUUGUUUUAAGUAUAUUGGGAAGUCAUGGAGGAAUCUGAAUAAGGUAGGGAAGUAAUCUGAUAUAGAUGCUAAAAAGAUCCGUCUGACUGCUGCGUGCCAUGGUAGUGAGGUGCUGGCUGUUACCAGGGGGACUGUCUCUCUCUGCAGCUGGGACAGCUGGUGCUGGGGACUGGGGGAUGGAGGAGCAGUCAGCAGAGAAGAAACACCAUGACGUUUGUCCCAAGUCUGCCUGUAUCAGCAGCCCAGAAAAAGGCGGCACUGUCAGCAACUCACUUGUCCUUAGGGGUCCCAGCAGCAAGACUGUUGCUCCUCCCCCCAACACGCAUACCAUGGAGGCCAGGAAAGGUCCUGAUAGGUUUUCCUAACUUGGGUUAAAGGAAGGAGGCACAGGCCCUGGGCUCCCAGAAAGUUCCCUGUGAGAGUCUCCAUUAACCCCCAGAGUCUCUCAUCCGUGGCGUGACUGAAGCAGAUUUGUGGUUCCUGGAUGGCCUGGAUAGUUUGGCAGUUCCCAAAGCUGAAACAAAUAGACUCAACUGGGGCUCUUAAAAAAGAGUGAUCCCGGCCAGGCGCAGUGGCUCACACCUGUAAUCCCAGCACUUUGGGAGGCCAAGGCGGGGAGAUCACGAG